rnacentral:lncRNA from 1 species
GGACUAGGGCCUCCCUCUGGGGCCCCACACCCAUGCUGGCAAGCAUCAGGAGCAGGGAGAGGCCCAGAACUGUCACUCCCUGGGCACAGUCCCACAGUGUCCUCAACCGGACAGUCCUGUUCUGCCCUUUCUCCUGUGGGGAGGAGCUGGAGGCAGAGAAGAAGGCAGGGCCCAGACCUGGCCAGAGGCAUUGUGCUGCCAGGGACCCAUGUGCCUGCGCAUGGAGCCUACACUCUGUAUGGAGGCUUUGGACCCCUAAAUCCAGAACCGUCACCUUCCUAAGGCCUCUGCAGUCUAAACGAGGGUGGCUAUUCAGGUCCUGCUCCCAGCUUUGA